CUAUAUGCGAUUCACACUCAUUUCAUACCUUAAUGAAGACCCUUCAUACCUUCAUGAAGGACCCUUCAUUCCACACCAAAUCGAGGGCACCGGGUCAAUUUAGAAUGAGGACCACUUCAUUACAUAAUGAAGGUAGCUCAGAAUGAACGUCCCUUACGCUUUGAAUACCCCUUCUGUCCAAAAUGAAGGUGGUCUCCAUAAAACGAGCCCAUGUCCAUCACGUGAUAUGAAGGCCCCUUUCAGUCCAAAAAGAAGCCGUCUCCGUAAAAUGAAACAUAAACAUCACGUGAUAUGAAGGCCCCUUUCAGUCCAAAAAGAAGCCGUCUCCGUAAAAUGAAACAUAAACAUCACGUGAUAUGAAGGCCCCUUUCAGUCCAAAAUUAAGCCUUUUCAUAAUGUCCAUCGCGCCAUAUGGACACGCCUCCAAUCCUAACUAGUAAGGCGUGUUCUUAUCACAUGAUGAACAGCGUCUUGAUACGGAUUUGCUUAUAAGCCAAGCCGUCUCAAGACCCUGUCCACCAUGUGAUAAGAACACGCCUUCAGCCCUAAAAAAAGGCACCUCCACAAAACAAGACAAUGCAGCUGUCCAUCACAUUGCGUGUGCAUUCAUCCCAAAAUAAACGUGCAGCCAUUACCACCGUCGUUUCUUGCCCCCCUUCCCCUUCGCCUUUGUUUCCAUGAUCCGCUUCAGUCAAGACGACAUCAGGUGCAGAACGGCUGCGCUUUGAGGCGGCCUUUGCUGUCAUCAUGGCUGUUGCAAUCUCCACCGCCCACAUCUGUCGCCCACUGCUUCACCAUGUCCAAGGUGGUUGACUGCAACAGCAGCGGGACAUGAGUCAGUCAGUUAGUUAUAGACAUAUAGGCUUAGUGGAG
rnacentral:lncRNA from 1 species